rnacentral:tRNA from 1 species
CGGGGCGUAGCGCAGCCCGGUAGCGCGCCUGCUUCGGGAGCAGGAGGUCGCGGGUUCAAGUCCCGCCGCCCCGA